rnacentral:rRNA from 1 species
CGAACGGUAGCACAGAGAGCUUGCUCUCGGGUGACGAGUGGCGGACGGGUGAGUAAUGUCUGGGAAACUGCCUGAUGGAGGGGGAUAACUACUGGAAACGGUAGCUAAUACCGCAUAACGUCGCAAGACCAAAGAGGGGGACCUUCGGGCCUCUUGCCAUCAGAUGUGCCCAGAUGGGAUUAGCUAGUAGGUGGGGUAACGGCUCACCUAGGCGACGAUCCCUAGCUGGUCUGAGAGGAUGACCAGCCACACUGGAACUGAGACACGGUCCAGACUCCUACGGGAGGCAGCAGUGGGGAAUAUUGCACAAUGGGCGCAAGCCUGAUGCAGCCAUGCCGCGUGUAUGAAGAAGGCCUUCGGGUUGUAAAGUACUUUCAGCGGGGAGGAAGGUGUUGCGGUUAAUAACCGCAGCAAUUGACGUUACCCGCAGAAGAAGCACCGGCUAACUCCGUGCCAGCAGCCGCGGUAAUACGGAGGGUGCAAGCGUUAAUCGGAAUUACUGGGCGUAAAGCGCACGCAGGCGGUCUGUCAAGUCGGAUGUGAAAUCCCCGGGCUCAACCUGGGAACUGCAUUCGAAACUGGCAGGCUAGAGUCUUGUAGAGGGGGGUAGAAUUCCAGGUGUAGCGGUGAAAUGCGUAGAGAUCUGGAGGAAUACCGGUGGCGAAGGCGGCCCCCUGGACAAAGACUGACGCUCAGGUGCGAAAGCGUGGGGAGCAAACAGG